rnacentral:sRNA from 1 species
CGCUUACAUCUCCAGAGAAAUCCUGAGGGGACUGGCACAUCUUCACAUUCAUCAUGUGAUUCACCGGGAUAUCAAGGGCCAGAAUGUGUUGCUGACUGAGAAUGCAGAGGUGAAACUUGUUGACUUUGGUGUGAGUGCUCAGCUGGACAGGACUGUGGGGCGGAGAAAUACGUUCAUAGGCACUCCCUACUGGAUGGCUCCUGAGGUCAUCGCCUGUGAUGAGAACCCAGAUGCCACCUAUGAUUACAGAAGUGAUCUUUGGUCUUGUGGCAUUACAGCCAUUGAGAUGGCAGAAGGUGCUCCCCCUCUCUGUGACAUGCAUCCAAUGAGAGCACUGUUUCUCAUUCCCAGAAACCCUCCUCCCCGGCUGAAGUCAAAAAAAUGGUCGAAGAAAUUUUUUAGUUUUAUAGAAGGGUGCCUGGUGAAGAAUUACAUGCAGCGGCCCUCUACAGAGCAGCUUUUGAAACAUCCUUUUAUAAGGGAUCAGCCAAAUGAAAGGCAAGUUAGAAUCCAGCUUAAGGAUCAUAUAGAUCGCACCAGGAAGAAGAGAGGCGAGAAAGAUGAAACUGAGUAUGAGUACAGUGGGAGUGAGGAAGAAGAGGAGGAAGUGCCUGAACAGGAAGGAGAGCCAAGUUCCAUUGUGAACGUGCCUGGUGAGUCUACUCUUCGUCGAGAUUUCCUGAGACUGCAGCAGGAGAACAAGGAACGUUCCGAGGCUCUUCGGAGACAACAGUUACUACAGGAGCAACAGCUCCGGGAGCAGGAAGAAUAUAAAAGGCAACUGCUGGCAGAGAGACAGAAGCGGAUUGAGCAGCAGAAAGAACAGAGGCGACGGCUAGAAGAGCAACAAAGGAGAGAGCGUGAAGCUAGAAGGCAGCAGGAACGUGAACAGCGAAGGAGAGAACAAGAAGAAAAGAGGCGUCUAGAGGAGUUGGAGAGAAGGCGCAAAGAAGAAGAGGAGAGGAGACGGGCAGAAGAAGAAAAGAGGAGAGUUGAAAGAGAACAGGAGUAUAUCAGGCGACAGCUAGAAGAGGAGCAGCGGCACUUGGAAGUCCUUCAGCAGCAGCUGCUCCAGGAGCAGGCCAUGUUACUGCAUGACCAUAGGAGGCCGCACCCGCAGCACUCGCAGCAGCCGCCACCACCGCAGCAGGAAAGGAGCAAGCCAAGCUUCCAUGCUCCCGAGCCCAAAGCCCACUACGAGCCUGCUGACCGAGCGCGAGAGGUAUCCUCUUUCCUUUGUCACUUAGACAUUGCCCUGGAAAGUCGUAUAACGACUCUUCAGAACUGUGUCAUAUGAGUUCUAGAACGGGCCAUAGAGGUUAGCUAAUUAUCUGGUUUCUUCAUUUUCUAACUAGGAAAUUGAAUUUCAGAGGAGUGGAGGGCCUUGCCCAAGGUUUCAUAUCCAGUCAGUGCUUUUUCCAUAAAGGACCAGAGUGCCUCAGUUAACAUAUCCCAGAAGAACUUGAAACUGAACUAAACAAAAAGAUUACAUGACACAGUCACUCUUAAAAAUGUGGAUGAGGGAAAGAGUGGUCUGAUGAACUAUUCUGCCAAGCUAGUAUAAAGCUAAAGUGUGCCUGUGGCUCAACUUUCUGACUUUGCAGAUGUCAAGAUGCCCUGCUAGAUUGGUGCGUUAGGGUUACCCAGAGCCUCAGAGUAGGCUGCGGCAGGGACUGCUUGGGGGUGCAAGAUGGGCGACAGGUGUGCCUCCAGAGGUGUUGAAUCCCGGCCCACAGGUGGCAGCAGCCUUCUAUUGUGUCUGCCCUCACAGGCAAUAGAUUCUAGAAACAAGUGUUCUGUUUGUUCUGGAGUGCUUUUAUAUUUGGUGGAGUGAAAUGCAUUCCGGAUUUCUGAUGAUAGUUUUUUAGUCUGUUGGUUUAGUUGCUUGUGACAGAUUAAUUUUUUUCUACUUUAUCAUCAUAUACAGUCUUAGAAUUCUGAGCUUAGAGACUGCCUUGCUAAUUUUUAUCUUCAUAAAUAUUUUCUUUUUCCUGAAUCUAAUCCUAGCACUGCUUUAUGUACCUUCUUUUUUCCAGCUACCCCUCUCUUUUCUGGUAGCAGAAGAAAACAGAAAACUUACCUUUAGAUUUCUUCCACUUUUAGACUUUCUUUGAUAUUUCUGCUUUUCCCCUACUAACACUGAGUUAUGUCUUCUAAUUCUCUGAUGCAGGUGGAAGAUAGAUUUAGGAAAACUAACCACAGCUCCCCUGAAGCCCAGUCUAAGCAGACAGGCAGAGUAUUGGAGCCACCAGUGCCUUCCCGAUCAGAGUCUUUUUCCAAUGGCAACUCCGAGUCUGUGCAUCCCGCCCUGCAGAGACCAGCGGAGCCACAGGUAGCGACAGCUAGCUUUGCUGUGGUUGAGGAGACUCAUGCAACGGCUCGCUGAGCCGCAGGCCUGCUGUAAUAUCACAGUUUAGUUUGUCACCACACUGAAAAAGAGGAGAGAUUAGCAGGAGUGAGUUUAGACUAAAAGAAGGCAUAGACUCAGUUGAUAGGGAAAUACCUUUUUCUUUCUUUUUGAGAUUUCUGUGUACUCAUUAAGAGUAUCUAGAGUGAGUGAUUUCUUAUAACUUUUUGCCUUGCCUAACUCAGGUGUUAAGUGCCUCCUUUUUCUGAUACAAAGAUCUUUUAGUUUAGUUUUUAGAGAACUGGGAUUAUAAAUACAUAGAGGGAGAGCCAGAAAUUUUCUUUGAAGUAUUUUAAAAGUAAGUGCUUUACUGUGUGAGCCCUGGGUCUUGGCCAGUCCUAUGAAUGGGCCUUAGAUGAUGCCCCUGAAAUUGCAUGCAAAAUGUCUUUAUUUGCUCAAAUGUGUAUUUUUUGUGGGGGUGGGGGGAAUGACCUUUUAUCAGAUUCUCACAGGGUUCAAGAUCCAAAAAAGUUUAGAUCUAGUGGGUUAGGUGUGGAUUUCUCUGAAAUAGGCCAGGGAAAAGGCUGUGACCUCUCCUUGGGUCUGCUGCAGCAUUCUAGCCUUGGCUAGGUGAGGGGAACUGUUGGGCUGAUGCUGUAUGGCUGGAGCAGAACCCACAGUGCUAUCCAUAGAGGAGAACAGGCAACGAAGAUCAUGGCUAAAGAUCUUAGAGGUCCUUAAAAUGCCGAUUCCUAAUCUCUUGCUGAAAAUUACUGACUUUUAGAUAUUUUCCCACUUGCCACUCUGUAAUCCAGAAUAUUAGGAACAAGUUCUUAAACUCGAGUUUACUUUUCACUGGUGUUUGCAUGUGUGGGGGACAAAAGUUUAUGUUCUUGUGGCAGGAAACUGUGGGAUCUGCAGCAUGGAGGAGUUAAAAAAAAAAAAAAAAAAGGGCUGGGGCACAGUGGCACGUGCCUGAAAUCCCAGCACUUUGGGAGGCCGAGGCAGGCAGAUCACCUGAGGUCAGGAGUUCGAGACCAGCCUGGCCAACCUGGCAAAACCCCAUUUCUGCUAAAAAUAUAAAAAUCAGCCGGGCGUGGUGGCAGGCACCUGUAAUCCCAGCUACUCAGGAGGCUGAGGCAGCAGAAUAACUUGAACCCAGGAGUGGAGGUUGCAGCUUGCAGUGAGCUGAGAUAGUGCUACUGCAUGCCAGCCUGAGUGACAGAGUGAGACUCCAUCUU